rnacentral:rRNA from 1 species
UACAGAGGGUGCGAGCGUUAAUCGGAAUUACUGGGCGUAAGCGCGCGUAGGCGGCUUUGCAAGUCGGGGUGUGAAAUCCCCCAGGCUUAACCUGGGAACUGCAUUCGAGACUGCAUUGCUAGAGUAUGGGAGAGGGAAGUGGAAUUUCCGGGUGUAGCGGUGAAAUGCGUAGAUAUCGGGAGGAACAUCAGUGGCGAAGGCGGCCUUCUGGUCCAGUACUGACACUCAAGUGCGAAAGCGUGGGGAGCAAACAGG